CGCGGUCGGGUUCCCCUACCCAAGAUGUCUGCCCUCCUCUGAUUGGGUCACCGUGGUGGUGGUGGGGGGGGUUGCUCCCGCUGCUGUGCAGGGGCCAAGUCGCAGUCCCAGUGACGUCUGCAAUGUCUGCCUCAUCACACGCGGCUGUCCGCUCGGCUCUCUCGUGGGUUUCCUACGUCACAUCGGGCGAGGUCACUUUAUUGUGACCACGGAAGACUGCACCAACGUGACAUUAGAAAUUGGCCAUCCAAAGAGGUUUUGUUGGGUUAGAUCGCGUAAGAUAUAAAUGUGUCGUUCAACCCGCCGCCACCCGACACACAGCUAAUCAGCAAGGCGAUGGUCGGAGACGAAGAUCAAGCAACAAAGAAACGACGGCUAAAUCGAGAAAGACAGCAGAGAUGGAUUCAGAGACAAAGCCAAGAAACUCUCGACAGAAUCCGACAAGCUCGUGUCAAGUCACAGCGUGCAGCACGAGAGCGGAAAACGCCUCAAAAAUGCCAUGCACGACUAGCAGCUGACGCCGAAGCCUAUCGCAAAGCCCAAAACCAAGAAUCACUGGAGCAGCGACAAGCACGACGAGAAGCUCAUGCUGAGUCACAGCGUGCAGCACGAGAGCGGAAAACGCCUGAAGAAUACCAUGCACGACUAGCAGCUGACGCCGAAGCCCAUCGCAAAGCCCGAGAACAAGAAUCCCUGGAGCAGCGACAAGCACGACGAGAAGCUAAUGCCAAGUCGCAGCGUGCAGUACGAGAGCGGGAAACGCCUGAAGAAUCGCAAGCACGACGAGCAGCUGACGCCGAAGCCCAUCGCGAAGCCCAACAAGAAGAAUCACUGGAGCAGCGACAAGCACGACGAGAAGCUAAUGCUGAGUCGCAGCGUGCAGCACGAGAGCGGAAACGCCUGAAGAAUCGCAAGCACAAUGAGCAGUUGACGCCGAAGUGCACCGUGUAGCUCAAGACCUUUACAGCCAGAUAAUUUGCGAUUAAGCAAUUCACUUUGUAGAGGAACGAGUUCAUGCUCAGGAUUGCGGCCCGCUGAGUUUCAUCUGCCAAUUCUGUGAUUCAAAGAACUUUAAGGAUGAGCAUCCAUCAGAUGGGAAGUUCACAAGCUGCUGCCGAAAAGGAAAGUCAAGCUGCCGAAGCCACAAGAUGAGAACGGAGUCGAGCUGGAAUAUCCCGAAUUCCUCCGUCAACUCAUAUCAGAUGUCAACUCACCAAGUCGUACACAUUUCCGUGACCACAUCCAAUCUUACAACAAUGCUGUCUGAUUUGCAUCGAUGGGAGCAAAGAUCAUGGAUCUGCCUGGACGUGGACCGUAUGUGUUCAAGGUUCAGGGACAAACUUACCACCGGACAUAACAUCUCCAGGUGCUCAACAAUCAACAGCCGCAGUACACGCAAUUGUACAUCAUCGACAGCACGCAAGCCACAGACACUCUACAAGGACAACAAGCUAAUGAUCAAUGCCAGCGUCAGAUUCUGAAUUAACUGGAUUGUUUCUUCAGACAGCACAACAGAAUCGCGCAAAGCUAUCAGCUGAUGCGUGAGGUCGAAACACAGUAAAUUGCGGAAUCACAAAUCAAAGGUGACCAACUUCCUGUUGUGAACAUGGUGUUUCGACAAGAUCCUCUAUCGGAUCAACAAUGCUACAAUUCUCCAACAUCGAAUGAAGUUGCAAUGGUGUUUGUCAACGAAGAUGGAGAGCCGCCAUUUCAUCGUGACGUUCACAUCUAUCCACAAAAUCUAGAAGAUCCGAAUCAGCCGUUCAUCAACAUCUUGAGUCCCAAUAUGGAUCCGAUGACGUAUGUGCUGCUGUUUCCAUACGGUCAACGCGGAUGGCAGCCAACGUGGCAAUGCGAAGCCUACGAAGGUGCGCAGAUCAAUAGAGUUCGAACCAACGUCAGCAUGCUGCAGUACAGAGCAGCACAAACUGCUCUUCGCCACUGCUUCAACUCAGUCAUGAGUGCUGGAAAAUUGACGCAGCAAUGGCUGGUCGAUUCCUAUCUAGAUUUGAAGCUUUCGUGGCUGCAAGGAUCCAUACUCUUUGGUUCUAUUCGGUAAAGUCACGUAGGCAAAAAAUAAAUAAAUAAAAUCACGACGUU